GACGAACGCUGGCGGCGUGCUUAACACAUGCAAGUCGAACGGUGAAGCGCCUUCCUUUUUGGUGGGUGUGGAUGAGUGGCGAACGGGUGAGUAACACGUGAGUAACCUGCCCCCUUCUUCUGGAUAACCGCAUGAAAGUGUGGCUAAUACGGGAUAUUCUGGGUCUGUCGCAUGAUGGGUCUGGGAAAGAUAUUGUUUCGGUGGGGGAUGGGCUCGCGGCCUAUCAGCUUGUUGGUGGGGUGAUGGCCUACCAAGGCGGUGACGGGUAGCCGGCCUGAGAGGGUGGACGGGCACACUGGGACUGAGACACGGCCCAGACUCCUACGGGAGGCAGCAGUGGGGAAUAUUGCACAAUGGGCGCAAGCCUGAUGCAGCGACGCCGCGUGAGGGAUGGAGGCCUUCGGGUUGUGAACCUCUUUCGCCAGUGAAGCAGGCCUGCCUCGUUUGUGGGCGGGUUGACGGUAGCUGGAGAAGAAGCGCCGGCUAACUACGUG
rnacentral:rRNA from 1 species